CCUGAGAAACCUAAAAGUUCGAAAAGAGAGAUUCAACGUCAGUAUGUAUUGUAUUCACGUGAGUAGUGAUGUAAGUUUUUAGUAAAGGGGUCAAACCUUUUAUUAAUACUUGCACAUUUUCAUGUUAUUUUAUUGCAAUACUAUUGCCGGCGUGCACUUCUCUCUUAGUAGGACGUCCCGACCCGUUGAGUCUUGGCCUACGGCACAGAUGGGAGCCUUUGAUAUUUCGGUAUUAAAGACCUCUGAUGUACUCCUGGCUAAAGUACUCGACGGUAGUUAAUUGAUAUGGUGUUGAGCCGCAUUUUCGAAUGCGUCCGGCCUGUCGCAAGUUUUUGAUAUAUUCCGUAUUACUAUAGACUAAGUGCUAUGUAUAUGGUUAUGUCGCUUUGCAUGACUGUGCUUUAGGACUGGCUUAUUUCAUCUGUCAGGACGCUUAGGCUUUGGGUACUCUCAGG
rnacentral:rRNA from 1 species